rnacentral:rRNA from 1 species
GAGCAGCCCAGAGCCUGAAUCAGUGUGUGUGUUAGUGGAAGCGUCUGGAAAGGCGCGCGAUACAGGGUGACAGCCCCGUACACAAAAAUACACAUACUGUGAGCUCGAUGAGUAGGGCGGGACACGUGGUAUCCUGUCUGAAUAUGGGGGGGNNNNNNNNNNAGAGCCUGAAUCAGUGUGUGUGUUAGUGGAAGCGUCUGGAAAGGCGCGCGAUACAGGGUGACAGCCCCGUACACAAAAAUGCACAUGCUGUGAGCUCGAUGAGUAGGGCGGGACACGUGGUAUCCUGUCUGAAUAUGGGGGGACCAUCCUCCAAGGCUAAAUACUCCUGACUGACCGAUAGUGAACCAGUACCGUGAGGGAAAGGCGAAAAGAACCCCGGCGAGGGGAGUGAAAAAGAACCUGAAACCGUGUACGUACAAGCAGUGGGAGCACGCUUAGGCGUGUGACUGCGUACCUUUUGUAUAAUGGGUCAGCGACUUAUAUUCUGUAGCAAGGUUAACCGAAUAGGGGAGCCGAAGGGAAACCGAGUCUUAACUGGGCGUUAAGUUGCAGGGUAUAGACCCGAAACCCGGUGAUCUAGCCAUGGGCAGGUUGAAGGUUGGGUAACACUAACUGGAGGACCGAACCGACUAAUGUUGAAAAAUUAGCGGAUGACUUGUGGCUGGGGGUGAAAGGCCAAUCAAACCGGGAGAUAGCUGGUUCUCCCCGAAAGCUAUUUAGGUAGCGCCUCGUGAAUUCAUCUCCGGGGGUAGAGCACUGUUUCGGCAAGGGGGUCAUCCCGACUUACCAACCCGAUGCAAACUGCGAAUACCGGAGAAUGUUAUCACGGGAGACACACGGCGGGUGCUAACGUCCGUCGUGAAGAGGGAAACAACCCAGACCGCCAGCUAAGGUCCCAAAGUCAUGGUUAAGUGGGAAACGAUGUGGGAAGGCCCAGACAGCCAGGAUGUUGGCUUAGAAGCAGCCAUCAUUUAAAGAAAGCGUAAUAGCUCACUGGUCGAGUCGGCCUGCGCGGAAGAUGUAACGGGGCUAAACCAUGCACCGAAGCUGCGGCAGCGACGCUUAUGCGUUGUUGGGUAGGGGAGCGUUCUGUAAGCCUGUGAAGGUGUACUGUGAGGUAUGCUGGAGGUAUCAGAAGUGCGAAUGCUGACAUAAGUAACGAUAAAGCGGGUGAAAAGCCCGCUCGCCGGAAGACCAAGGGUUCCUGUCCAACGUUAAUCGGGGCAGGGUGAGUCGACCCCUAAGGCGAGGCCGAAAGGCGUAGUCGAUGGGAAACAGGUUAAUAUUCCUGUACUUGGUGUUACUGCGAAGGGGGGACGGAGAAGGCUAUGUUGGCCGGGCGACGGUUGUCCCGGUUUAAGCGUGUAGGCUGGUUUUCCAGGCAAAUCCGGAAAAUCAAGGCUGAGGCGUGAUGACGAGGCACUACGGUGCUGAAGCAACAAAUGCCCUGCUUCCAGGAAAAGCCUCUAAGCAUCAGGUAACAUCAAAUCGUACCCCAAACCGACACAGGUGGUCAGGUAGAGAAUACCAAGGCGCUUGAGAGAACUCGGGUGAAGGAACUAGGCAAAAUGGUGCCGUAACUUCGGGAGAAGGCACGCUGAUAUGUAGGUGAAGUCCCUCGCGGAUGGAGCUGAAAUCAGUCGAAGAUACCAGCUGGCUGCAACUGUUUAUUAAAAACACAGCACUGUGCAAACACGAAAGUGGACGUAUACGGUGUGACGCCUGCCCGGUGCCGGAAGGUUAAUUGAUGGGGUCAGCGCAAGCGAAGCUCUUGAUCGAAGCCCCGGUAAACGGCGGCCGUAACUAUAACGGUCCUAAGGUAGCGAAAUUCCUUGUCGGGUAAGUUCCGACCUGCACGAAUGGCGUAAUGAUGGCCAGGCUGUCUCCACCCGAGACUCAGUGAAAUUGAACUCGCUGUGAAGAUGCAGUGUACCCGCGGCAAGACGGAAAGACCCCGUGAACCUUUACUAUAGCUUGACACUGAACAUUGAGCCUUGAUGUGUAGGAUAGGUGGGAGGCUUGNNNNNNNNNNAGACGGAAAGACCCCGUGAACCUUUACUAUAGCUUGACACUGAACAUUGAGCCUUGAUGUGUAGGAUAGGUGGGAGGCUUUGAAGUGUGGACGCCAGUCUGCAUGGAGCCGACCUUGAAAUACCACCCUUUAAUGUUUGAUGUUCUAACGUUGACCCGUAAUCCGGGUUGCGGACAGUGUCUGGUGGGUAGUUUGACUGGGGCGGUCUCCUCCUAAAGAGUAACGGAGGAGCACGAAGGUUGGCUAAUCCUGGUCGGACAUCAGGAGGUUAGUGCAAUGGCAUAAGCCAGCUUGACUGCGAGCGUGACGGCGCGAGCAGGUGCGAAAGCAGGUCAUAGUGAUCCGGUGGUUCUGAAUGGAAGGGCCAUCGCUCAACGGAUAAAAGGUACUCCGGGGAUAACAGGCUGAUACCGCCCAAGAGUUCAUAUCGACGGCGGUGUUUGGCACCUCGAUGUCGGCUCAUCACAUCCUGGGGCUGAAGUAGGUCCCAAGGGUAUGGCUGUUCGCCAUUUAAAGUGGUACGCGAGCUGGGUUUAGAACGUCGUGAGACAGUUCGGUCCCUAUCUGCCGUGGGCGCUGGAGAACUGAGGGGGGCUGCUCCUAGUACGAGAGGACCGGAGUGGACGCAUCACUGGUGUUCGGGUUGUCAUGCCAAUGGCACUGCCCGGUAGCUAAAUGCGGAAGAGAUAAGUGCUGAAAGCAUCUAAGCACGAAACUUGCCCCGAGAUGAGUUCUCCCUGACUCCUUGA